rnacentral:rRNA from 1 species
GAUGAACGCUGGCGGCGUGCCUAAUACAUGCAAGUCGAGCGAACGGACGAGAAGCUUGCUUCUCUGAUGUUAGCGGCGGACGGGUGAGUAACACGUGGAUAACCUACCUAUAAGACUGGGAUAACUUCGGGAAACCGGAGCUAAUACCGGAUAAUAUUUUGAACCGCAUGGUUCAAAAGUGAAAGACGGUCUUGCUGUCACUUAUAGAUGGAUCCGCGCUGCAUUAGCUAGUUGGUAAGGUAACGGCUUACCAAGGCAAGGAUGCAUAGCCGACCUGAGAGGGUGAUCGGCCACACUGGAACUGAGACACGGUCCAGACGCCUACGGGAGGCAGCAGUAGGGAAUCUUGCGCAAUGGGCGAAAGCCUGACGGAGCAACGCCGCGUGAGUGAUGAAGGUCUUCGGAUCGUAAAACUCUGUUAUUAGGGAAGAACAUAUGUGUAAGUAACUGUGCACAUCUUGACGGUACCUAAUCAGAAAGCCACGGCUAACUACGUG